GUGAACGCUGCGGCGUGCCUAAUACAUGCAAGUCGAACGGAAUUUAAAAGAGCUUGCUCUUUUGAAUUUAGUGGCGCACGGGUGAGUAAUAUAUAGCUAAUCUGCCCCUUGCUGGAGGACAACAGUUAGAAAUGACUGCUAAUACUCCAUACUCCUUUUUACCAUAAGAUAAAUCGGGAAAGAAUUUCGGCAAGGGAUGAGACUAUAUCGUAUCAGCUAGUCGGUGGGGUAACGGCCUACCGAGGCUAUGACGCGUAACCGGUCUGAGAGGAUGAUCAGUCACAUUGGAACUGAGACACGGUCCAAACUCCUACGGGAGGCAGCAGUAGGGAAUAUUGCGCAAUGGGGGAAACCCUGACGCAGCAACGCCGCGUGGAGGAUGACACUUUUCGGAGCGUAAACUCCUUUUGUUAGGGAAGAAUAAUGACGGUACCUAACGAAUAAGCACCGGCUAA
rnacentral:rRNA from 1 species